GGCCCGUUGGUCAAGCGGUUAAGACACCGCCCUUUCACGGCGGUAACAGCAGUUCGAUUCUGCUACGGGUCACCA
rnacentral:tRNA from 2 species